UUAGAGCGGCGUAAGCUGUCGCUAAGGGAUGGCCCCGCGGUGCAUUAGCUAGUUGGUAAGGUAACGGCUUACCAAGGCGACGAUGCAUAGCCGAGUUGAGAGACUGAUCGGCCACAUUGGGACUGAGACACGGCCCAAACUCCUACGGGAGGCAGCAGUGGGGAAUCUUCCGCAAUGGGCGCAAGCCUGACGGAGCAACGCCGCGUGAGUGAAGAAGGUUUUCGGAUCGUAAAGCUCUGUUGAGAGGGACGAGAGGCAAGGCUAGGAAAUGAGCUUUGUAGGACGGUACCUUUCGAGGAAGCCACGGCUAACUACGUG
rnacentral:rRNA from 1 species